UACAGAGGGUGCAAGCGUUGUUCGGAAUUAUUGGGCGUAAAGAGCUCGUAGGCGGUUUGUCGCGUCUGCCGUGAAAGUCCGGGGCUCAACUCCGGAUCUGCGGUGGGUACGGGCAGACUAGAGUGAUGUAGGGGAGACUGGAAUUCCUGGUGUAGCGGUGAAAUGCGCAGAUAUCAGGAGGAACACCGGUGGCGAAGGCGGGUCUCUGGGCCGAUACUGACGCUGAGGAGCGAAAGCGUGGGGAGCGAACAGG
rnacentral:rRNA from 1 species